rnacentral:rRNA from 1 species
GAUGAACGCUGGCGGCGUGCCUAAUACAUGCAAGUCGAGCGAACGGACGAGAAGCUUGCUUCUCUGAUGUUAGCGGCGGACGGGUGAGUAACACGUGGAUAACCUACCUAUAAGACUGGGAUAACUUCGGGAAACCGGAGCUAAUACCGGAUAAUAUUUUGAACCGCAUGGUUCAAAAGUGAAAGACGGUCUUGCCGUCACUUAUAGAUGGAUCCGCGCUGCAUUAGCUAGUUGGUAAGGUAACGGCUUACCAAGGCAACGAUGCAUAGCCGACCUGAGAGGGUGAUCGGCCACACUGGAACUGAGACACGGUCCAGACUCCUACGGGAGGCAGCAGUAGGGAAUCUUCCGCAAAGGGCGAAAGCCUGACGGAGCAACGCCGCGUGAGUGAUGAAGGUCUUCGGAUCGUAAAACUCUGUUAUUAGGGAAGAACAUAUGUGUAAGAAAAUGUGGACAUCUUGACGGUACCUAAUCAGAAAGCCACGGCUAACUACGUG